rnacentral:rRNA from 1 species
GACGAACGCUGGCGGCGUGCCUAAUACAUGCAAGUUGAGCGCUGAAGGUUGGUACUUGUACCAACUGGAUUAGCAGCAAACGGGUGAGUAACGCGUGGGUAAUCUGCCUUUGAGCGGGGGACAACAUUUGGAAACGAUUGCUAAUACCGCAUAAAAACUUUAAACACAAGUUUUAAUUUUGAAAGAUGCAAUUGCAUCACUCAAAGAUGAUCCCGCGUUGUAUUAGCUAGUUGGUGAGGUAAAGGCUCACCAAGGCGAUGAUACAUAGCCGACCUGAGAGGGUGAUCGGCCACAUUGGGACUGAGACACGGCCCAAACUCCUACGGGAGGCAGCAGUAGGGAAUCUUCGGCAAUGGACGAAAGUCUGACCGAGCAACGCCGCGUGAGUGAAGAAGGUUUUCGGAUCGUAAAACUCUGUUGGUAGAGAAGAACGUUGGUGAGAGUGGAAAGCUCAUCAAGUGACGGUAACUACCCAGAAAGGGACGGCGAACUACGU